rnacentral:lncRNA from 1 species
AGGGCAGAGCAUCACAAAGGAACAGUAGAGACAAUCUGUGUUACUUAGCUGCAGACAAGUGACAGGAAGGGGCAGGCAGGGGUCAGAAGGAUGCAGACACUCUUACAUUGAGAUCUGCUGAUGGACCUGCCUCCUGCCAGUGCCAGGUAGGGGCCUGGUGACAGCAUCAUGAGGCAAAUAAGAGAGAAAAAGGCUCCACGGAGCAUAACAGGGUCUGACCCAGGAAUCCAGGAGUUCAUAUAGGAGCCCUGCCCUUCCAUUGCUGUGACAGACAGAAUGAACAGGAGCCUAACUUAACAGCCCUCUGAGAGACUCUACCCAGAAGAUGACUGAGACAGAUGGAUAUACCUACAGACAAACAUUGGACGGAGGUUGGGGACCUCCAUGGCAGAGUUAGGGAAGGAGAUGACAACCUCACAGGAAGACCAACAGUGUCAACUAAUCUGGACCUUCUAGGAGUUCACAGAGACAGAGCCACCAAGCAAAGAGCAUACAUAGGCUGGUCUGAGCCCCCUGAUUCCUAUGUAGCACAGGGCUGUCAUAUCUGGCUGCCUCAGUGGGAGAGGAUGUGCCUAAUCUUGCAGGGAUUUGGUGCACAAGGGUGCGUGUGAGAGAGCUACAGGGGGUGUGCUGCCCUCUUAGAGGAGGAGGGGAGGGGAAUGGGGAGGAGCUCUGUGAGGGUAGACCAGGAAGGGGGCAACAUUUGGGAUAUAAGUAAAUAAAUGAAUUUUCAAAAAGAAAAGAACAGGAGAAGCGGAGGCCACGGAGGGAAGGUGCUU